AUACUUACCUGGACCGGAUCUAUGGUGAUCAAUGAGGCCCAUGGUCUAGGUUGGUGACCUCCAUUGCACUCAGGAGGGGUGCCUGUCUAAGGUCUACUCAAGUAAUAGAGCCUACGUUAUAAUUUGUGGUAGUAGAGGCUUGCGUUCGCGCAGCCCCUGU